GUAAAAUCAUAUUUCUUUGUUUUUAGUGCUUGAUUUGUGUCUUUUCUGUAAACUGUUGUUCUUAGUUGCAUUUCUUCUAUUGUCAGGUCUAUGUCCAAAUAGUGUGCGUUUAGAUGAUUCUCUUGCACUUUUUGAAGUCUAAGACCUUAGGCUAGGAGUGAGAACAUGGACUGGAAUUGCUCUGUUUUGAAUUCGUUUUGCCACAAGGUUAUAAUAUCAUCUACGUACCUAAUUUAUAGGUUUCAUAUCUGAUUUGAAGUCUUGUAAUACUUGGCUUUCAACCUGUCUCAAAACUAUUUUGGCAAGGGAUCCUGCCAUUGGGCUGCCUAUUGAGAUGUCUGGUAGUCUGCUUAUAGAACUUUCUUUUGAAGAUGUAGUAAGACUGAUGACAUACCAAGCUCACUAAUUCUCUCAAGAAUGGUGCUCUCUCCUGUGCAUCAUGUGCAUUAUUUAGGAGACACCUGUGGAAGGCAAGGCAGGUUGGUUCUAAUUUGAGCGAGGGGUAUAAGUUCUCGAAAUUGUAAGUAAUGAUGAGGUCAUUAGGUUGCCAAUCAGCUCCUUGUAAUCUACUUAAUGCUUUGAUGUUUAUGGUGGUUGAGUGUUGGUUCUGACUAAGAAUGGAGUUGCACUAUUUGGCAAGUAUUUUCUCUAGGCUGUAUGUAGGACAGUCUUUUUUUCUACAAUCGGUCUAGCUCCUACUGGGUCUUUGUGAGUCUUUAUGAAGAUGAAGAGCCUUGGGCAGGCUGGGGCAGAUACUUUUUUAAUUUUCCAAAUGUGCAGGAAACUCUGGUGUUUUGUUAACUUAAGGACUUUUGAAUCUGUUUUCAUAGUUGGGUAUGUUUUUAACAGAAUUGGAUUCAUUUUUUCGAUAUGGUCCUCUAAAAAACGGUCAUACGUACUUCUUUCUAACAACAACAUCUUCUUUGUCUUAUCUUUCUAAAUGAAUGUAUACUCGUUAUUGUCCAGCCAUUGGGUUGUUUUCUUGAUUAGGUGGGCUUCUCUGCAUUGAAGACUGGAUCACUGCCGCUCUUUAUUGUUGGUAUUAAGGUUAUAUGUUUUUUCUCAUAGGUAGGCCCAUCUAAAUUUACUUUUCUCAUUUUCUUGGUCUCCUAAGAUGUUUAAUGUGCUCUCUAUGAAUGGGAAUUCGUCAAUCAAGGCCAUGUUAAUGAGGGUGGCACAUGCUGGACCUUUUUGAAUAAGCUCUUGUGCAAAUAAUAGAAGUUUUAUGUCACCUAAAUUGUUACGGUGUCUAUUUUAAUUUUCUUUCCAUAAACGCCUUGGGUUAGUAGUCAACUGCACUGCCCGCAAUCAGGAAAAAUACUUUUUAGUUUGUAUUUUUGUUAAUUUUUAUUAUUUUAAUGCUCAUAGUGUUUUGAGCAUUUUAACUAUUUUUAUGUAGCUAAAGCAUUUAUCCUUGUUUUUCGGUUGCCUUAGUGGCCUAACUAAGCAGCCAACUAUUGCCUAUUUUGACUCUUGUUCUAUGUCCUGUUAUUCUCUUGUGGCCU
rnacentral:lncRNA from 1 species